GAUGAACGCUGGCGGCGUGCCUAACACAUGCAAGUCGAGCGAACGGACGAGAAGCUUGCUUCCCUGAUGGUAGCGGCGGACGGGCGAGUAACACGUGGAUAACCUACCUAUAAGACUGGGAUAACUUCGGGAAACCGGAGCUAAUACCGGAUAAUAUUUUGAACCGCAUGGUUCAAAAGUGAAAGACGGUCUUGCUGUCACUUAUAGAUGAAUCCGCGCUGCAUUAGCUAGUUGGUAAGGUAACGGCUUACCAAGGCAACGAUGCAUAGCCGACCUGAGAGGGUGAUCGGCCACACUGGAACUGAGACACGGUCCAGACUCCUACGGGAGGCAGCAGUAGGGAAUCUUCCGCAAUGGGCGAAAGCCUGACGGAGCAACGCCGCGUGAGUGAUGAAGGUCUUCGGAUCGUAAAACUCUGUUAUUAGGGAAGAACAUAUGUGUAAGUAACUGUGCACGUCUUGACGGUACCUAAUCAGAAAGCCACGGCUAACUACGUG
rnacentral:rRNA from 1 species